GCCUGGGUGGCUCAGUCGGUUAAGCAUCUGACUUCAGCUCAGGUCACGAUCUCAUAGUUCGCAGGUUUGAGCCCCGCAUCAGGCU
rnacentral:tRNA from 1 species